GAUGAACGCUAGCGGCAGGCUUAGUACAUGCAAGUCGAGGGGUAACAUGGGUAGCAAUACCUGAUGACGACCGGCAAACGGGUGCGGAACACGUACGCAACCUUCCCAAAACUGGUGAAUAGCCUUUCGAAAGAGGGAUUAAUACACCGUAACAUAAUGAAGUGGCAUCACUUUAUUAUUAUAGCUCCGGCGGUUUUGGAUGGGCGUGCGCCUGAUUAGGUAGUUGGCGGGGUAACGGCCCACCAAGCCUACGAUCAGUAACUGGUGUGAGAGCACGACCAGUCACACGGGCACUGAGACACGGGCCCGACUCCUACGGGAGGCAGCAGUAAGGAAUAUUGGUCAAUGGACGAAAGUCUGAACCAGCCAUGCCGCGUGAAGGAUUAAGGCCCUCUGGGUUGUAAACUUCUUUUAUAUGGGACGAAAAAAGGGCAUUCUUGCUCACUUGACGGUACCAUAGGAAUAAGCACCGGCUAACUCCGUGCCAGCCGCCGCCGUAAGAC
rnacentral:rRNA from 1 species